GACGUAGGGCGCGAGCGUUUGUCCGGAUUUAUUGGGCGUAAAGAGCUCGUAGGCGGCUCGUUGCGUCGGCUGUGAAAACCCGCAGCUCAACUGUGGGCUUGCAGCUGAUACGGGCGGGCUGGGAUUCGGUAGGGGAGACUGGAAUUCCUGGUGUAGCGGUGAAAUGCGCAGAUAUCAGGAGGAACACCGGUGGCGAAGGCGGGUCUCUGGGCCGUAACUGACGCUGGAGGAGCGAAAGCGUGGGGAGCGAACAGG
rnacentral:rRNA from 1 species